rnacentral:rRNA from 1 species
UAAUCCGACCUAGGCUCAUCUGAUAGCGCAAGGCCCGAAGGUCCCCUGCUUUCUCCCGUAGGACGUAUGCGGUAUUAGCGUCCCUUUCGAGACGUUGUCCCCCACUACCAGGCAGAUUCCUAGGCAUUACUCACCCGUCCGCCGCUGAAUCGAAGAGCAAGCUCCUCUCAUCCGCUCGACUUGCAUGUGUUAGGCCUGCCGCCAGCGUUCAAUCUGAGCCAGGAUCAAACUCU